AUGUUAACAACACUUAAUCUUGUUGGUUACCUAACCGAGAGAGAACUAAAUAAGUCAUGUGGUGUUCCGUCAAUAUGCAACUCGUUGCAUAUUGUGCUCCACUUAAUUUGUAGAAUUGUUUGUGCAUUUUUGCCAUGCCAUGCUUCAUUAAACCGGACAUGCAUCAUACUUGAUUGUGCAUCAUGCCAUGUUCAUGUGGUGGUUGUUCACUAUGUUGUGUGCUUCUUUCUGGUGUUGCUUCUUUGGGUUGGUUCUUGUUGGAACAUGGAGAUGUUGUUCCUUGUUGGAACAUGUUUACUUGUUGGGAUAUCACAAUAUAUCUUAUUUAAUUAA
rnacentral:rRNA from 1 species